rnacentral:lncRNA from 1 species
CUAUCUUAUUUUAAUAAACAACACUGUCAUAUGCAAAACUAGGGUGGCACUUGGGGAGGCAAGAGAUCAUUUCAAGGUGGCACUUGCCACCCCAUGCCAUCCUUCUAGAUCCGCCCCUGUCUGAUAUAGGUCAUGGCAAGCCUUCUGUUUGACCCAAAUGUGACCUCCUGCCCGUAUGAGCUGGACCUGUGGCUGACAUGAGGUAGCCAGACUCUAACUCAAGGUCCAGUAUGGCCCACUGGAGUAUUUAGUAUCUGUAUAUGCAAAAUUAGAUUAGUGUCGCUAUUUCAGACUUUUUCAUUAAAAAUAAUAAUAAUAGUAGCCUGGCUUUAAUGAAAAUGUAAAAUCUAUAAGAUUCUAAAUAUGGCCUGUAGGUUUUUUCGUCACUAUAGGGUUUAAAGUUACAACAGAUUGUCUUGUAAAACAAGAUUGCCUUCUUUGCCUUCUUUCUAUGCACUCUAACAACACAAUUUCAACUUUAUUUUGCCAGUUUUAUUUUAAUACCAUCAGGUACACCCCCACCACCCACCUCAGCUUCAGUUUGUAGAAUGUACUGUAACAGCAGAGCUGGUGUAAGCUGGCUGACGAGUCUGUUGACUACUGGUUUCCCCUCAGGUCAGAGGAUAAUCAGGAAAGGUGCAAUCAGCAAUGUUUAUUUCACACACCAGGAAAGCACUAACACAAAGCCAUGCACUCUUAUCGCUGCCCAGUCAAUUUAAAGAAUUACAAUCAGGACAAAGAGACAUACCACACUCCUUUGCUCUGCUGUGUUUUCCUCCUGGGGUCUGAGCUCCAAGACAGAGAUAAAGGAAGAGAGUAAUUAGCAAACACAAACCACCUGUGCAUAUCAGACUCUCCCUCCAUGGCCCCAUUACCUGAACCAUUCCCAGCAACUCCCCCCUCCACAGCUGAGCUCUAACCAGGCCCUGAUUACAUUAGAUUUCACAGGUUACAUGUCCAGUGACUGCAGCUUCUCCUCAUUGUUCUUCAUAACCAACCUUCCCUUAAGUCUAGAUCCAGCUGCAGUUCAGGAUAAUACUCUGCUUCUGUCAGCUAGUAAACAGACCAGAAUUAAAAGUACAAGGUGCUGUGAUGAAGAUGUGGCAGCCCUUCAGGGACAUAUCUGCACCUUUUCAAAGGGGACAUUAUCUCGUAGCAAAGCACCGAAGCUUCUUUAUUCUUACUGGGGACAAAAUUGUUCUUUCAGAUGUACAAAGUAAAAUAUAUUAAAAAAAAUAAACCCCUGCUGAGUGCACAGGCUAGCCAUAGUGACAGGGAUCAUUUGUACUAAGGGUCUGUGUCUGAAUGUACUGCAUAUAUUGGUUACUUAGCAGCAUGGCAUGGUGCAGUAGUAAGUAACAUGUGUUGGUAAUUAACAGUUUAGUUUGUGAUCAUUUAAGGAUGUUUUUCUUCCUCUCGUGAAUAUUUCAGUUGUUUGCUGUGUUUUGUUACAGAGUAACUUCUCACAGAGUCAUGCUUAUCAAAUCCAAACCACUAAUCACAAUCACGCUCUCGUGGUAAAUGCACAAUCGUUAUCGCAAAAAAGAUGCUCAACAGCUGAUUUGCAGAAUGUCCAAUUUUGUGUCAAUCAAAGAUUUUAAAAUCAGCCGUAUCCAGAUUUAUAUCAAUUAUAUUAAAUAUUAUCUAGGUCUGGCCCAUGAAAUCAUGGACAAGGUGUCACUGGCCCUCGACAGAUUAUGAAUUGGGAUGUUUGUUCUGGUCCCUAAUCGCUGGAAUGAACUGAGAUCUUUGAUUACUUAGAAUAAAGAUGUUUUUAUAUAUGGAUUUACCAAAACAUCCAAAUAUGCAGUCACAUUUUAGCUUUCAUUAUGAGCUGUGUGAGUCAUCCUCUUCUUUCAAUUUCACCUUUUAGGCGUCACCACAUCAGAUCAUCUGCCUUCAUCUCACCCCAUCCCUGCCAUCCUCUUCUGUCACAUCUACCCUCUGCUCUGUCCACACUGCUGUUCUGCACAGGCCUGAACCUGGUAUCAGACUGAAUGUGUGUAAAUGAGGGCAUAUUUAAUUAGAUGAUUUGAAUACUUAAAAAUGGUAAGGGAGGAAAAUUAAAAAAAUAACUUAAGGAAAAUAAUCGACGGGGGAAGUUUAAUGGUGACGUCUAAUAGUUAUGACUUUUUACCCCGUUCACCUGGGGUCUCGCCUCAGACUCUCCGGUUUCUAUGAGUAGUCAAGAGAUGCAUAAUAAUAAACCUUUUUAACAAGUUCAGUAGGUGGAUCCCGACAGGCAGUCUCAGGUUUCGCUUGUCUUCACACCUAAACAACUUACACUCUUAAAAGUCAGCCUCAGUUUUACCUUGGAGCCUGUUUCACCAACUGUUCCUCCAUAUUUAUGAGGUGUAAGAACAAGAAGUCUCAGCCUGAGCCAUGAAACAAAGUUCUUAAGUAAACUGCUGCCAUCCCAGCUUGGGUACUCUCGAACCUCUGAUGCAGAUCGCUUGCUGUAGGGCAUGUUUCACAGCACUGUGUGAUAUUCUCAGAUUCUGAAGACAUGUCUGAUACAGAAUAUAAUAAAAUACAUCUCCUGAAGGGCUGUUUGUUCUGUAUGUGUGGGUCAGG